GGUCUGGCAAGAUGACACCACGGGGGACUGCGCAUUCCCAAAUUCUGUUGGGAAGAUCGGCGGCAGCCCCUGCACAACGAAGCGGCCAUUUGUCUGCAAAACAGCCAAGCGUGGAGGGCCUCGACAGCUGCCACCAUUAGCCAGCCAACAUGGCUGGACUGACAAAUGCGGCUGGUGGCUGGACAACCCCUCGGACGACUUCUGCUACCUGUUCAACUUUCAGCCCGCCAAGACCUGGCAGGAGGCGCAAGCCGACUGCAAAGGCCGCCAAGGGAACCUGCUCAGCAUCGCCGACUCGCGCGAGCAGGGCUUCGUACACGGUAUCGCCAAGCUUCUGGCGAUGAAUGAUGACGCCUCCCUGUGGUUGGGCGCCGACGCCUCCAUCAAGCGUGACGGUGACAAGUGGACUGACGGAUCCUCCUUCUCUUACCUCCACCCGAGUGCAGGUGUCCCUGAAGGGGGGAAAUGUCUUUUCUUGCUCACUGGCAGCGGCGACUGGAAGCGCGACACGUGCGACAAGAAGAGAGGCUACGUCUGCAAGAAAAGAGGUAAGUGAGAUGUGACGCCCCGCGGUGGACCGUCAUCACGUGUCGACAUCCACUUUCUGGUUCCCGCUUCUAGGAAAGACACAUCAGCUGCCGCCACAUGACGGCUACAAGAAGAAGCUUGUCUGCCAAGACGAUUGGAAAUCCCUCGAAUGUCCCGAUGAAAGAGUCAU